CAACACAACCGCUAAAAGACAAGCAAGUAGGGGUAAUGAUAAAGAAAUGGUGAUAAAAUGUGCCCAGUGACUUUACUUGCUCAAACAGGAGAGGCUGCUGCUGAAUGUAAACCUGAGAGUUCACCUGGGUGCAAUAAACCAGCAGCCCUCAGCAUUGCCGUACCUGAAUGCUUAAAUGAAAUAACUGUCCAUAAGCUGAGAUCUAGGAGCAUAAAGCGUGUUGUGGAAAGACUUAUUGAGAAAGAAAAUGAUUUGCAAAAACCUCUUGGUGUAAGCAUUGCAAGAGAUACAACACAAAGCAGGGAUUCCACAGCAAAGCAAAAUCUGGAGGAAUCACCAGAUAGACAUCUGCAAUCUGGAACUGGCUCUAGCAAUCCAGAAGGACAAAAACAUGGACCGG